GAUGAACGCUGGCGUCGGGCUUAAUACAUGCAAGUCGAGCGUACGGACGAGAAGCUUGCUUCUCUGAUGUUAGCGGCUGACGUGUGAGUAACACGUGUAUAACCUACCUAUAAGACUUGGAUCACUUCGUGAAACCGUAUCUAAGGCGGGAUCAUAGUGUGCACCGCAUGGUUCAAAGGUUGAAUACGGUCUUUCGGUCACUUAUCGAUGUAUCCGCGCUGGAUUAGUUUGUUGGUAAGUUCGAGGCCUACCACGGUAGCUAGGGAUGGCCGACGUGCGAGGUUGGUAGGCCGCACUGGAACUGAGACACGGUCCCGACUCCUGCGGGAGGGAGCAGACGCGACUCUUCGGCAAUAGGGGCAAGCCUGAAGGAGCAACGCCGCGUAAGUGCUGCAGGUCUUCGGAUCGUAAAACUCUGUUAUUAGGGACGAACCUAUGUGUAAGUAGCUGUGCACAUAUUGACGGUACCUAGUAAGAAAGCCACGGCUAACUCCGUG
rnacentral:rRNA from 1 species